UGGGGAAUAUUGCACAAUGGGCGCAAGCCUGAUGCAGCGACGCCGCGUGCGGGAUGGAGGCCUUCGGUUGUAAACCGCUUUGUUCAAGGGCAAGGCACGGUCUUUGGCCGUGUUGAGUGGAUUGUUCGAAUAAGCACCGGCUAACUACGUGCC
rnacentral:rRNA from 1 species